UCACAACACGAAAAAGUGUGCGCUGUGGAAAUCAAGUCGAGUCAAAUGUUACCUGUUGAGUCUCAAAUCAUACCGCGUGUGUCGCAGCGACACGCGCUUGACGCUGGAUAUACAUACAUACAGAGUAUACUUAAAGUGGCAAAACGUCCCAGUGCGAUUAUGGCGGGCUGCUUGCAACCGGCUAACUGUGACCUGACCUGACAACAGAUACCGGCGAGAGACUGGUACCCAUGG